GAUGAACGCUGGCGGCGUGCCUAAUACAUGCAAGCCGAGCGAACAGACGAGGAGCUUGCUCCUCUGACGUUAGCGGCGGACGGGUGAGUAACACGUGGAUAACCUACCUAUAAGACUGGGAUAACUUCGGGAAACCGGAGCUAAUACCGGAUAAUAUAUUGAACCGCAUGGUUCAAUAGUGAAAGACGGUUUUGCUGUCACUUAUAGAUGGAUCCGCGCCGCAUUAGCUAGUUGGUAAGGUAACGGCUUACCAAGGCGACGAUGCGUAGCCGACCUGAGAGGGUGAUCGGCCACACUGGAACUGAGACACGGUCCAGACUCCUACGGGAGGCAGCAGUAGCGAAUCCUCCGCGAUGGGCGAAAGCCUGACGGAGCAACGCCGCGUGAGUGAUGAAGGUCUUCGGAUCGUAAAAUUCUGUUAUUAGGGAAGAACAAAUGUGUAAGUAACUAUGCACGUCUUGACGGUACCUAAUCAGAAAGCCACGGCUAACUACGUG
rnacentral:rRNA from 1 species